GGCGGGCGGCGGGCGGAAGGCAUUACUUUGUCCGGACUCUAAUUCAAAUUGUAUUCAUCCGAUCUUCACCAAACUUGGUCAGCAGUUGCAUCUAGUUGAUAUCUAGGCCAAGUUCGAAUAUGGGUCAUGCCGGGUCAAAAACUAGGUCAUAGGGUCAAUUAGUGCAUUUUCAACGGCGCCACUUUGUCCGGACUCUAAUUCAAAUUGUAUUCAUCCGAUCUUCACCAAACUUGGUCAGUAGUUGCAUCUAG